rnacentral:tRNA from 1 species
GCUCGGAUGGUGAAAUUGGUAGACACAAGGGACUUAAAAUCCCUCGCCGAAGGGUGUGCGGGUUCAAGUCCCGCUCCGAGCACCA